rnacentral:lncRNA from 1 species
GGGGACCAACUCUGAUUCUUUUUCGCCGCAACAACCGACUACCAAUGCGGGCAGUCGAUCCCCUUUUUAAACUCUGCCAAGCCCAGGACCGAAAGCAUGACAUUUCAUCCAAAUUUUUGGAUCACCGUGCUUUCGGGCUAUUGUUUAUUAUUUUCUACUGCAGAUGGGGUCCUGCGUUAGUCCCUGGACACCUGUACCAGCACUAUCUUUCAUCUGCAGUACGUAAUCUCUUUUUGUUUCGAGAUUUACAAUUCUAGGGACGAAGUUUCGCACAUAAUAGCGGGGAUAGGUUGAUGCUUAACUAUCCUUUUAAU